CAAUAGCGUAUAUUAAAGUUGUUGCAGUUAAAAAGCUCGUAGUUGGAUUUCUGGUGGGAGCGAUCGGUCUGGCGCUUAGCGCGAGUACUUGCAUCGUCUCCGGCCAUCCUUGGGGAGAGUCUGUCUGGCAUUAGGUUGUCGGGCAGAGGAUCUUCAUCGUUUACUGUGAAAAAAUUAGAGUGUUCAAAGCAGGCUUAUGCCGUUGAAUAUAUUAGCAUGGAAUAAUAAGAUAGGACUUUGGUACUAUUUUGUUGGUUUGCGCACCAAAGUAAUGAUUAAUAGGGACAGCUGGGGGUAUUCGUAUUCCGUUGUCAGAGGUGAAAUUCUUGGAUUUACGGAAGACGAACUACUGCGAAAGCAUUUACCAAGGAUGUUUUCAUUAA
rnacentral:rRNA from 1 species